UCUUAUAUAUAACUGACAUUUUGCAAAAACACGGUUUUUCACUUUGUUUUAGCUAAAAUGUUUAAAUAGAGAGUCAUUUUUAUUGUAGUUGCACCAAUAAAUAAAUGAAAAGCUUAAAUUAAGAGAAAUGCUAACUAACGGACACCUUUAGAGCAUCUCCAAUGGCACUUGCCCAUUAGAGUGGUUUUGGUACAUAUGCAAUGUGGUCUAAUUUUCAAAAUUAAUUUUAUGUGAAGUGGUGCUUAAUAUAGACAAUGGGCGAGCAUUUUUUUUUAAAAUUUUUUUAUUAGAAAAAAAUUAUUUUUUACCUAAAAAGUUAUUAAUUCAAUGUUAUGUGGGACCAUAGAGAGCAACUUGUAUAGUUGUCGACCAUUGGAUUGGAGUAUUUUUUUAAGAGAAGAUGACAAAUUUUAUGUGGAUGAGAAAAAAAUAAUAAAAAAAAUAUUUUAGGAGGAUGUGUGUAUUUUGGAAACUAUAGGUGUUGCUCCAUUGAAAAUGCUCUUAGAGCAUUUCCAAUAGUAAAAAUUUAGAGGAUGCUUGAUGAAGUGGACAUAUUACAUGGCAAAAUAGUAAAAUAUUAUACCAUUGGAGAGAGAUGGGUGUCAUUCUAAAAUUUGCAUGAUGCUAUACAAUAGGAUGCUAUUUAUUUAUUUUUUUAAUAAAAAAUUAAAGCUAAAAAGUUAUUGUUGCUAAAAUUAGGAUAUAUAUAGUAAAUAAUAGAGUAAUUUGUGGCAUAAAUACUUAAGUUUAAUUUUCAGUUACAAAUAAAUAUAAAUUUAAUUUUUGUCGUUAAUAAUACAACUAACCAAUUACAACGCGUCACAUCAGUAUAGUAUUGAACACCAUGUAAUGCCUAACUAGGAGUGAGUAUCGGUCGGUUUGGUCAAUUUUUUUCUAUAAAAAAAAUUAAGAAUUCGGUUUUCGGUCUGGAUUGGUGCAAUCAGAAUACUGUUCGACCAAUCCACAAUCUAUCUUAAAACCGACUGUUUUGAACCCCGGUUUGGUCGAUUUAAACCGCCCAAACUCAUUUUUUUUUAAAUAUAAUUCAAUUUAUUCUAUAAGCACAUUAUUAUACAUUCUAUAACUAUAACUAUACAAAUUAUUCGUUUAAAAACUAAUUAUCUUAUUUUUUUUAAUUUUAAUAUUAAUAAAAUAAUAAUAUAUUUAUUAUUAUAUAUUAUGAGUAACUACAAUAUAUAUAUAUAAAAAACUUAAUAAAUUAAUUUAUGGCUAAUUAGUAAUUUUUCCCCCUGAAUUUUUUUGGCCGUUAAAAAUUCUCCAUGAACUAUUGAGAUUGUUAAAUUUAAGGACUUUUGUCUAAUUUCAUUCAAUUUUACUGUUUCAGGUACUAAGUCAUGCUCCCCAAACUUUGAUAUCUAUCAAAUCAUACCCCUCAAACUUUUAUAUGUAUUAAAUCAUGCCCCCUGAAUUUUCAUCCAUGUUAGAAUUUUUUUACUAAUAUUAGAUAAAAGUCCUUAAAUUUAACAAUCUUAAUAGUUCAGGGAGAAUUUUUAACGGCCAAAAAAGUUUAGGGGCAUGAUUUAGUACAUGUCAAAGUUAAAAGGAAAAAAUUACAAAUUAACCUUAAUAUAUAUAUAUAUGAAAGACGGUCGGUUUCAAUAUUUUCGAUCCGUGUAUUACCAAAAAAAAAAACAGCUAUUUUUUUUCUUUGGAAAAACUUCUUAAUUUUUAUUAAUGCUACUUACCAGACUCAGACUGUGCGCAUAUAUAUAUAUUUAUUGCUGCGGAUUCCUUCAUUUAUGGUAGGGGCCAGAGUGCUUGAACGUCAAUAACAAGAAGAGAUUUAUUUUAUAUGCUAUAGAAUUAAAUACAUAUAUGAUAGAGAGAGAAUAUUAUGGUAAUUUAUUAUAGAGGUUGGGCGAGGGUUGGUAUAGAUUAAUGCAAUGGCCUUGGGUUGUGAGUUUUGGUAGCCCAUUAAUGCUUUCCCAAAAAACCUUCUCACCUCUCCUCUCUCUCUCUCUCUCUCUCCUUCCUUUCUAUUUAUUUUCAUUCAAUUCAAUUGAAAUAUUCCGAGACAUUCCCAUCCUCUUCUUUAUAAUAACCACACCUCUCUCUCUCUCUCUCUCUCUCUCUCUCUCUCUCUCCCUCAUCUACAUACAUAUAUACGUUUUCUUCUUUUCUCUUCCCAAAUUAUGUAUAUCUGUCUCUGCUCUUUUACAUAAAUCAAGGCUUAACAUGUUUUAGUUAUAUAUAUAUAUAUAUAUAUAUAUAUAUAUAUAUUAUGAAAGUCUUACUAAGAUGUUGGCCCUGCUCACUCAGAGAGUUCUAUAUAUAUAUAUAUAUAGGUGUGUGUGGAUUAUGCUUUCUGAUUGAGCCGUGCCAAUAUCUCUGUUGUCUUUCAUCUUUCUCAUGCCAUCCCAUUUAUCAACUGAAUUACUCUCUUCUCUAGUGAGGUAAUCAAAGUUGGUGUGGGAAUAGAGAGAUCUCUUUAUAUUAUCUUAUAUGGUUUUUGUUAAUUUUAGGAAUAUCAAGCAUCCUUAAUUGUGUUCUUUAAUCGGAUAGAGUAUGUAUAUAUAUACGUAUAUAUGAAGUUUACCACUUUUUAAUUUUA